CAAUAAUAACAAUAACACAUAUCACAUAUGAUAGUAUAUGUUCCACAGGUAGAUUUAGUCCAGUUCUGUGAUUGUGGAUCUGACAGAGGCAGAUGAGUUAUACAGUCUUAUAACAGUGGGGAGGAACGAUCUCCGGUAUCGUUCCUUAGAGCAGCGUGGUUGAAUGAGUCUGUUGCUGAAGCUGCUCUUUAGCUUGUCCAGUGUUUUGUGGAGGGGGUGGGAGGGAUUGUCCAUGAUUGCCAGCAGUUUUGCCAGCAUCCUCUCCUCCACCACCUCCUCCAGGGUGACAAACUUACAUACUUGGUGCCUCAUUGUGGAGAUUACAGAAUAAAUCUGUAUUUAUAUCAUUCAUCAUUAAUCAUUAAUGAUAAUUACUACGUAAAUAUCCUGUUGUUUCCAGCGACCUGUUCAACCCAAAGUUCUCUCCAAACACCAAAGAAGAACAACGACGAGAUGGAGGAAGACUGCAGAGAUGGAGCAGAAGUCUUGAUGGAGAUUGACCAAUCAGCAGGGGAGGAGGAAGCAGCUGGUGGAACCUGA
rnacentral:lncRNA from 15 species